rnacentral:rRNA from 1 species
UGGGGAAUAUUACACAAUGGGGGAAACCCUGAUGCAGCGACGCCGCGUGAGCGAUGAAGGCUUUCGAGUCGUAAAGCUCUGUCCUAUGGGAAGAUAAUGACGGUACCAUAGAAGAAAGCCCCGGCUAAUUACGUGCCAGCAGCCGCGGUAAUACGUAAGGGGCGAGCGUUGUCCGGAAUUAUUGGGCGUAAAGAGUGCGUAGGCGGCAAAUUAAGUCAGAUGUGAAAACUAAGGGCUCAACCCAUAGAUUGCAUCUGAAACUGAUAUGCUUGAGUCAAGGAGAGGAAAGUGGAAUUCCUAGUGUAGCGGUGGAAUGCGUAGAUAUUAGGAGGAGUACCGGUGGCGGAGGCGACUUUCUGGACUUGAACUGACGCUGAGGCACGAAAGCGUGGGGAGCAAACAGG